rnacentral:rRNA from 1 species
GACGAACGCUGGCGGCGUGCCUAAUACAUGCAAGUAGAACGCUGAAGGAGGAGCUUGCUUCUCUUGAUGAGUUGCGCACGGGUGAGUAACGCGUAGGUAACCUGCCUGGUAGCGGGGGAUAACUAUUGGAAACGAUAGCUAAUACCGCAUAAUAGUAGAUGUUGCAUGACAUUUGCCUACAAGGUGCAAUUGCAUCACUACCAGAUGGACCUGCGUUGUAUUAGCUAGUUGGUGGGGUAACGGCUCACCAAGGCGACGAUACAUAGCCGGCCUGGGAGGGUGAUCGGCCACACUUGGACUGAGACACGGCCCAGACUUCUACGGGAGGCAGCAGUAGGGAAUCUUCGGCAAUGGACCGAAGUCUUACCGAGCAACGCCGCGUUAGUGAAGGAGGUUCUCCGGACGUAAAGCUCUGUUGUAAGGGAAGAACGAGUGUGAGAGUGAAAAGUUCACACUGUGACGGUACCUUACCAGAAAGGGACGGCUAACUACGUG